GGGCGCGUAGUGGAGUGGUUACCACGUUGGUCUUCGAUGAACCAAAGUUCGUCGGUUCGAUCCCGGCCGUGCUCA
rnacentral:tRNA from 1 species